CAUUUUAAUUUUUAACUCUAUUUGUUGUUAUAUUACUUUUUUUUUAUUCUUUUUUAUGUUUUUUUUGUAAAAUGUUUUGAUUUUUUUGUAUUUUUUUGUAAUAUUUAAAAUUUGUUUUUUGAACUGGAUUAGUACCCAGGUAAUCAAAGUUUAUUAAUUCGGGAGUAAAGUUUUGUUUAAACCGAAAAAAUAUUGACUGACUUUAGAUUUUUCUUUGGAAUAUGUGUUUUUGGAGAGCCCUCUUUUUUGGUGAAUUUUAUUGGCACAUGUAUGAUUGUUUAGUUUUUAUGUUAUUUGUGUUGCUUUUUUGUUUUUUUGCAUUUAAAACAGAUAUAUAUUUGGCUUAUAAAUUUAUUUUUCAUGUAUUACUAUUAUUAAUUUUUUUUGGAUUUAUUUUUUAUUUUAUUUUUGAAAUUGGAAAAGAAAGUAAUUUUUUCUUUAUGUGUUAAUGAAUUUAAUAAAUAAAGUGGUACAAACCAUC
rnacentral:rRNA from 1 species